UCUGUCUCACACGUUUAAAGAUUUCACCACAUGUUCCGGGGUCCGGUUUGAAAACAAGUGGACUUGGAAGUUGUCUGUAAUGAAUCAGAGACUUCAUUGAUAACAACUAACUAGAAUGGAUGCGGUGGUCUUGAUGGGGGUGAAAUCCCCACACGUGGAACAGGCUUUAAAACGCAGCCCGAGAAGGAGCCACACAAACAGAUUUCAGAGGAGCGAGCAUCCAUUGCCCUCAAGAGAUAGAGGAGCAACGCUUUCCUCGCUGCAGCCCAGCUCUGGUUUGAUCCUCAAGACAAAGAAACCCGAUUUAUCCCCAGGAGUAUGAGAAUUCCCCGUCAUCCUCUCCAAAUACACACCAGGCUUUAGAAGUGCUGACUUGUCCUCCAUCUCCGCUUCUGGGACAGGAACUGCUGAGCCUAAAGAGAUAGUGAUUUUGCACCGUAAAGGAUAUAGUAUGAGUGCACUCAAAUUCCCCCCCUAUUGGAUAAGCAGAUUUGAACGUUUGGGAUUCAAAAGAAGGAUUGUGCUGGAAUGUUGAAGGAUUUUCUUUCCCCUUGCAUUUUAAAUAAGGUAGAAAAUUUCCAGUUUGACAAAACAAUUUAUUCCUAAAUGAAAAUGUUAGUUUCAUAUGUGCAUUUACAGUGUUCUUACAUGUUAUGGCCCUCAUACAUAUUCUCAACAAGAUUCUCUUUUGUAUUCUGGUCGUUUAAUAUUCCAUGCUUUGCAGAUCUAUAUACAAAUUAGCUUCCAGGGCAAUAAUAACCUUAGGCCUACCGGUCAGAUGAACUUGUUUUAAAAGAGAUAUUCCUCUGAAUAUUCUUCCAUGUGCGAUUACCGUGGCUCUGACAGAGACCUGCAGCUGAACUCAACCUCUUAGCGUGAUACAGUGACCGGAGAGGCAUCUGUGAAGCAGAGGAGGUCAAACUGAGGUGAAAUACCCUGGUUGGAUGUUAAGCUGGCUGCACAGUGUUUUCACACAUUGACCCAGUAUAGUGGUCCAGUGUAAAGCCUCAGGAGAUGUUUCUAAUGUUGGAUGAGUUUAAUCCUGACCGGUUUACAGAUGUUUAUGUCAGCGGGGGAUUCUCCUGAGGAAACAUUACAUCACUUCCGAGGCAAAUGGUAUGCACAAGAGAAUAGAAACUGGAUAGAAAUCAGACAUUUAAAAUAAAGCCACCGUGCUAAUAAAGGGCAAAUCAUCAGACACCCUCAGGGACAAGGCUAAUUUAAUUCCACGUAAACAAAACCAGCGAAAAGUGGCAUGCAGACACCCAGACCAGUCAUCUGUUGUUACAUAAUCACGGACACCUCGCUUGUACUCAUUAUUGUUCUUUUCCAUUCAGCACUACUUCGUCAUUUGUAAGAGAUGUUCCCUGCAGUUUAAAAUACCAGAAUAUGUAAACAUGCAGAGAUGUAAUAUAUACUUAAUGCAUGUUUUAUUUUUCUGUGUAUGCAUGUAAACCAAAUAUUUGAUGAUUGUGAGGAUGUGUAAAUGUACACCAAAGAUGUUAACACGUGUGUAAACAACAUGGUAAGUUACCGCAGGUGUAUUUUCAGCUUAC